UUGUUGCUUUGGGCGGGCCUUGGGGUCCGCCCCAUCCCGGCCACGGGCCUCGCGCCCGGGCCAGGCCGCGCCGUCCGGGGCCCAUUCAAACUAUGUUUACCAGUGCUGUCCGAGUGAAUACCACAAUAGUAAAAACUUUCAACAAGGGAUCUCUGGGUUCUCGCAAUCGAAUGAAGAAACGCAGCGAAAUGCGAUAAGUAAUGUGAAUUGCAGAAUUCAGUGAAAUCAUCGAAUCUUUGAACGCACAUUAGAGCCCCUUUGGGUAUUCACGAGGGGCAUGCCUGUUCGAGCGUCAUUGAACACUCACCCCUCAACGCUCCGCUUGCCGUGUUAGGCCGAGACCCCCGCGUAGGGCCGUACCGAAAUCCAGUGGCGGGCCGUACCGAAAUCCAGUGGCGGUCCGGCGUGACUUCGAGCGUAGUAGGGAUCCUAUCGCUCGUUGGAAGCUCGGCGUCGGGGCCGGCCACGAACGCCCUCAAUUUCAUUUCCGA
rnacentral:rRNA from 1 species